CGCCGGUCCGGAAUAGCUGUGGGAAACCGCAGGUAAUACCGGAUAACAUCUGUUUCCUUCAAAAGAAGUGGAUCAAAGGUGUGAUUCCGCCCUGGGAGGAGACUGCGUUGUACUAGCUUGUUGGUAGGGUAAUGGCCUACCAAGGCGAUGAUGCAUAGCGGGCGUGAGAGCGUGGCCCGUCUCACUGGGACUGAGACACUGCCCAGACACCUACGGGUGGCUGCAGUCGAGAAUCUUCGGCAAUGGGCGAAAGCCUGACCGAGCAAUGCCGCGUGCGGGAUGAAGGCCCUCGGGUUGUAAACCGCUGUCAGUUGGGAGGAAAUCACUUGGGGCUAUCCCCUCGUGUUGACCUAUCUUCAGAGGAAGGACGGGCUAAGUUCGUGCCAGCAACCCGCGGUAACACGAACCGUCCAAACGUUAUUCGGAAUUAUUGGGCUUAAAAGGGUGCGUAGGCGGCGCGGUAAGUGAGGUGUGAAAAUCCCUCGGCUCCACCCCAGGAAUUGCGCUUCAUACUGCCCGUGCUUUGAGGGAGACAGCGGUAAGCGGAAACUGAUGGGUGGAGCGGUGAAAUGCCGUUGAUAUUAUCAGGAACACCCAGUUGGCGAAAGGCGGCUUUACUGGGGUCUCUUCUGACGCUGAAGGCACGAAAGCUAGGGUAGCGAACGGGAUUAGAUACC
rnacentral:rRNA from 1 species